rnacentral:rRNA from 1 species
UACAUGGGGUGCAAACGUUGCUCGGAAUUAUUGGGCGUAAAGCGCACGUAGGCGGUUUGUUAAGUCGGAUGUGAAAUCCCUCGGCUCAACUGAGGAAGUGCAUCCGAAACUGGCAAGCUUGAGUACGAAAGAGGGUCGCGGAAUUCCCGGUGUAGAGGUGAAAUGCGUAGAUAUCGGAAGGAACAUCAGUGGCGAAAGCGACUUCCUGGACCAGUACCGACGUUCAGGCACGAAAGCGUGGGGAGCAAACAGG